rnacentral:rRNA from 1 species
UACGAAGGGUGCAAGCGUUACUCGGAAUUACUGGGCGUAAAGCGUGCGUAGGCGGUUUGUUAAGUCCGUUGUGAAAGCCCUGGGCUCAACCUGGGAAUUGCAGUGGAUACUGGCAAGCUAGAGUACGGUAGAGGAUGGUGGAAUUCCCGGUGUAGCGGUGAAAUGCGUAGAGAUCGGGAGGAACACCCGUGGCGAAGGCGGCCAUCUGGACCAGUACUGACGCUGAGGCGCGAAAGCGUGGGGAGCGAACGGG